CCCCCCCCCCCCCCCCCUCUCUCUCUGCCUUCUCUAGAUCGGCGAUCCGAUCCAUGGUUACUUGGUUAGGGCCUGCUAACUAUGUUCAUGUUUGCGUUAGAUCCGUGCAUGGACGCGAUCUGUACACACCAGACGCGUUCUGAUUGCUAGCUAACUCGCCAGUACCUGGGAAUCCUGGGAUGGCUGUAGCCGGCCCCGCACGCAGACGGGACCGAUUUCAUGAUUCUCUAUUUUUUUCUUUGUUUCGUUGCCUAGGGUUUCGUUCGAUCGAUCCGCGUUAUUCUUUAUUUCCAUAUAUUCUGGUACGAUGUUGAUACGGUUCGACCGUGCUGCUUACGUUCUGUGCGCUUGUUUGCCGGGUCAUUUUUACCUUGCCUUUUUUGUAUGGUUUGGUUGUGGCGAUGUGGUCUGGUCGGGCUGUCGUUCUAGAUCGGAGUAGAGUGCUGUUUCAAACUGUCUAGCGGAUCUAUUAGAUUUGGAUCUGCAUGUGUGACAUAUAUCUUCGUAGUUAAGAUGAUGCAUCUGUAUGUGUGACAUGCGGAUCUAUUAGAUUUGGAUCUGUAUGUGUGACAUAUAUCUUCGUAGUUGAGAUGAUGCAUCUGUAUGUGUGACAUAUAUCUUCGUAGUUAAGAUUAUGCAUGGAAAUAUCAAUCCUUUAGAUAAGGACGGGUAUACUUGUUGCUGUGGGUUUUACUGGUACUUCGAUAGAUGCAUAUACAUGAUCUAACAUGCUUAGAUACAUGAAGUAACAUGCUGCUACGGUUUAAUAAUUCUUGAGUUGAUUUUUACUGGUACUUAGAUAGAUGUAUAUACAUGCUUAGAUACAUGAAGUAACAUGCUCCUACAGUUCCUUUAAUCAUUAUUGAGUACCUAUAUAUUCUAAUAAAUCAGUAUGUUUUAAAUUAUUUUGAUUUUACUGGUACUUAGAUAGAUGUAUAUAUACAUGCUCAAACAUGCUUAGAUACAUGAAGUAACAUGCUGCUACGGUUUAGUCAUUAUUGAGUGCCUAUAUAUUCUAAUAAAUCAGUAUGUUUUAAAUUAUUUUGAUUUUACUGGUACUUAGAUAGAUGUAUAUAUACAUGCUCAAACAUGCUUAGAUACAUGAAGUAAUAUGCUACUACGGUUUAAUUGUUCUUGAGUACCUAUAUAUUCUAAUAAAUCAGUAUGUUUUAAAUUAUUUCGAUUUUACUGGUACUUAGAUAGAUGUAUAUAUACAUGCUUAGAUACAUGAAGUAACAUGCUACUACGGUUUAAUUGUUCUUGAAUACCUAUAUAUUCUAAUAAAUCAGUAUGUUUUAAAUUAUUUCGAUUUUACUGGUACUUAGAUAGAUGUAUAUAUACAUGCUCGAACAUGCUUAGAUACAUGAAGUAACAUGCUACAUAUAUAUUAUAAUAAAUCAGUAUGUCUUAAAUUAUUUUGAUUUUACUGGUACUUAGAUAGAUGUAUAUACAUGCUCAAACAUGCUUAGAUACAUGAAGUAACAUGCUACUACGGUUUAAUCAUUAUUGAGUACCUAUAUAUUCUAAUAAAUCAGUAUGUUUUCAAUUGUUUUGAUUUUACUGGUACUUAGAUAUAUGUAUAUAUACAUGCUCGAACAUGCUUAGAUACGUGAAGUAACAUGCUACUAUGGUUAAUUGUUCUUGAGUACCUAUAUAUUCUAAUAAAUCAGUAUGUUUUAAAUUAUUUCGAUUUUACUGGUACUUAGAUAGAUGUAUAUAUACAUGCUCGAACAUGCUUAGAUACAUGAAGUAACAUGCUACUACGGUUUAAUCGUUCUUGAGUACCUAUAUAUUCUAAUAAAUCAGUAUGUCUUAAAUUAUCUUGAUUUUACUGGUACUUAGAUAGAUGUAUAUACAUGCUUAGAUACAUGAAGUAACAUGCUACUAUGAUUUAAUCGUUCUUGAGUACCUAUAUAUUCUAAUAAAUCAGUAUGUUUUUAAUUAUUUUGAUUUUACUGGUACUUAGAUAGAUGUAUAUAUACAUGCUCGAACAUGCUUAGAUACAUGAAGUAACAUGCUACUACGGUUUAAUCAUUCUUGAGUACCUAUAUAUUCUAAUAAAUCAGUAUGUUUUUAAUUAUUUUGAUAUUACUGGUACUUAACAUGUUUAGAUACAUCAUAUAGCAUGCACAUGCUGCUACUGUUUAAUCAUUCGUGAAUACCUAUAUAUUC
rnacentral:lncRNA from 1 species